CCUACGGGAGGCAGCAGUAGGGAAUCUUCCGCAAUGGACGAAAGUCUGACGGAGCAACGCCGCGUGAGCGAAGAAGGUCUUCGGAUCGUAAAGCUCUGUUGUUAGGGAAGAACAAGUACGGGAGGAAAUGACCGUACCUUGACGGUACCUAACGAGGAAGCCACGGCUAACUACGUGCCAGCAGCCGCGGUAAUACGUAGGUGGCAAGCGUUGUCCGGAAUUAUUUGGCGUAAAGCGCGCGCAGGCGGUCUUUUAAGUCUGAUGUGAAAUCUUGCGGCUCAACCGCAAGCGGUCAUUGGGAACUGGGUGGCUUGAGUACAGAAUUGGAAAGCGGAAUUCCACGUGUAGCGGUGAAAUGCGUAGAUAUUAGGAAGAACACCAGUGGCGAAGGCGGCUUUCUGGACUGUAACUGACGCUGAGGCACGAAAGCGUGGGGAGCGAACAGGAUUAGAUACCCCAGUAGUC
rnacentral:rRNA from 1 species